rnacentral:rRNA from 1 species
CCUACGGGGGGCAGCAGUGGGGAAUAUUGCGCAAUGGGCGAAAGCCUGACGCAGCGACGCCGCGUGGGGGAUGAAGCUCUUCGGAUCGUAAACCUCUGUCAGCAGGGAAGAACGGUCACUGUGCUAAUCAGCAGUGCAUUGACGGUACCUGCAAAGGAAGCACCGGCUAACUCCGUGCCAGCAGCCGCGGUAAUCCGGGGGAUGCGAUCGUUAUCCGGAUUUAUUGGGGUUAAAGGGUGCGUAGGCGGGUUUUUAAGUUAGUGGUUAAACGUCGGGGCUUCACCUUGAUUUGCCAUUAAUACUGUAAGACGCGAGUUCAGACGAGGUAGGCGGAAUAAGUGAAGUAGCGGUGAAAUGCUUAGAUAUAACGUAGAACUCCGAUAGCGAAGGCAGCUUACCAGACUGCGACUGACGCUGAAGCACGAGAGCGUGGGUAGCGAACAGGAUUAGAUACCCGUGUAGUC